ensembl:lncRNA
AAAACUGUCAGGGUCUAGAUAGCUUUUAUUAGUUUAAGAAUCACAGUUGCUCUUCGAACUUCUGGGUAGGAAGAAAACAGAGCAAUAAAGAAUGGUUUUAGAAAUAAUUAAAACUUGAAAAAAAUCAUAGCAACUGUUUGGGAAACAACUCAUACUGAGAAGGCAAGGACAUUUCAGCUAAUCUUGGCUACAUCUGAUCCAGAGAACCACAGAAUUCUUCAGCAUGCUCUGAACUGAACACCUGGACUGCUUCUAGGUUUGAAAUAAAUGGAUCUGGGAUAGACAUUCUUCCUUUCACAGAAAUAAGGACCUGGCAGCAUUUGGCUGAGAUGCUCACCUUGAACUCAUAGAGUCACCAGGAACCAUGGCAAACUGCCAGGUCAAAGAGAUCUUUAUCAACUUGACACCUGCUAGAGCUUGCUGUGAUUCUCUGCUGAUGUUCUUGCUUGUUGUCUGACAAAAACUCACCUCUCAUUCCAAGCAAGAGGAUCAUAAGUGGUGUUAUCUCUCUGGUCCAAUUUUGAAGUCAUUUUUUCUUAAUGUAGCUCUGUGGUUACAGAAAAAUUUCACUUUGCAAAGGAUUUGUUAUUGUUGUUUAUGAUUGCAAAAGGAAUUUACAGAAACAUGCUUUGCUGUACAGCACCGAGUGAAUUGUGUACUCUUCUGUAGUGGCUUCCUGUUGUCUCCAUUCCCUCUGCAGAAUGACAGAGUUUGUCAUUGUGAUGCCCCAGAAAGAGAAACAAGGACUGACAGUGGGACCAUUAUCUUUACCUUAGGAUGUCACUACAUAAGAAGUUGUGUUGUCAUGUCAUCAACUCCUGAAUAUGAGUAAAAAUGGAAGCAUCGGUGGCAUGGACCAGCUAUCAUACAGAAAGAAAAUAUUGCUCUCUUGACUUCUAGUCCUUGAUUAGAUUGUGAGAGCUCAGAGUGGCCCAGUUAUUUGAGCAGACCCCUGCAUUCAUUGUAAGGUGGGUGUGAACAAAAACAAUGUUAGAAGAAAUGAACCAUGACAAUCCUUCAGUGUAUGGAAGAGGUCCGAAUUCCAUGCUGUCUAAAACUAAAUUAAACACUAUGUUCAGACAGUGGAAAAGCAGAACCUGCUUUUUUAUUUUUAUUAUUAUUUUUUUUAAUAGCUUUUUUAAAUACUUAAGAUCACCUUUCUGUUUUGUCUUAACUGAUUUUGCUGCUCACUCACUUCACAGGCAGUUGAGUAGUCCGGGAAGUAUUUAUCAGCCUCAGAAUGAACUGGGAAAUGUCCCACUGGGAAGAAAUGAUGAUGGCUUUACCCUCCUGGCAGACUCUACUUGAAUUGUCAUCUGCCAUGUGUAACCAACCAUACUUUUACUGGAUAACAAAAAGUGGCAUUAAUAUUUUACUGAACAGAGACUAUGCUUUCAUUAAAUUUCAUUAUGAUUUGAUUUAUUGAUGAGUACAGGGGAGUGCUUUCCAAGGACUAUACAGAAAAGUUUUCAGGAGUCAUAAGAGCAAUAGUGUUUAAUAGGCCUCAAAG